UAUUUUUAUAGUGUAUUCUUUAACACAUAGCAUUUUCAUUGCUAAAAAGCAAAGCUAAAAAUAU
rnacentral:tRNA from 1 species